GUGUGCUACUGCCAUCUAGCAUGUAGGGUCCGGGGAUGCGGCUAAGCAUUCUAUGAUGACUCUUGCAGCGACAGUCUCCCACAGCCAAAUGUCAGCAAUGCCAAGGCAGGAAAACCUAGGGAGAUGUUUAGAACCGUGUAGAAGUUGACUGCUAAAGCAGGGCAAAUGUCAGGGGUCAAAAGCCAGAAGCCAAGGAAGUCAAAUGUCAGAGGCGUAGGAGAGUGGUAAACACCAGGUCAUUGGAUAAGCAAAGAAACAACGUCAAGAGUGCUGAGGUUGAGGAACUUGCUCUGGACAAUGAGCAACGUAAUCACACCACAAUGCCAGAAGAGAAUAAAAUGCCGUCCAAAUACAAGGUGCAGCAUCUAAUCUAGAAUCAGGGGUGCAAAGGUGCCCUCGGAAGUGACAUCUAAUUAAAAACCUGAAAACCAGAUGAGUUUGAAAGGGAUGUGAAGACGAAGGCAGGGUAAAGGGGCCAUUCCAGACAGAAGGCACAGCCGGCGGGCAAGCGGGACUACGGAACGGAGGAACACAUCUGUACGGCGGAAAGUGGGAGGGGCUCCGGGGCUGGAGAGGCGGCCGCCCUAUCAUAACCGGCUUGUGUGAUGGCUUAAGAAACACAGACGUUAUCUUUAAGGCAGUAAGAAGCCACCGAAAGAAUUUACACAGAGGAGUGACACGAACAAGCUUGUCUUAGGACAAAGGACUGCUAAGAAACUGAGUGGGAGGGAGCUCCUGACAUCCAGACGACGGUCGUGGCCUAACGCUGCCCCUUGGAACGGAGGGGAGGCAUUCAAGAGACGCUCAGGGAACAGCUGAUGGCGUGGAAGGAAGUCCAAAGACUUCAAGAGCAGAGGACAGCUCUUGAGUAGAUCCCUAAGGCCAAGCACUGCUGGACACAGUCCGAAAACAGAGAGAAUUCUGUCCCCGACGCCCGCAGGUUAGUUCAUUUCAGGUGGACUCCCAACGCUCCUCAGUAAACCCUUUACUCACCGCUGCUUAAUGCCAACGCCAGAGCCCGCAGCACGUGAGGAUCCCUGCUUUCUUUAGGCUCCCGGCAACACCCCUUCACCCUGAGCAGCUGAACGUGGCUUCCGUUUUAUCGAGGGCAAAGGUCACUUGAUGUGAGUGAGCUUCUUCACAACUUCC